UACGGAGGAUCCGAGCGUUAUCCGGAUUUAUUGGGUUUAAAGGGUGCGUAGGCGGUUUGAUAAGUUAGAGGUGAAAUGUCGGGGCUCAACCCCGAAACUGCCUCUAAUACUGUUGGACUAGAGAAUAGUUGCGGUAGGCGGAAUGUAUGGUGUAGCGGUGAAAUGCUUAGAGAUCAUACAGAACACCGGCGGCGAAGGCGGCUUACUGGACUGUAACUGACGUUGAGGCUCGAAAGCGUGGGGAGCAAACAGG
rnacentral:rRNA from 1 species